GGUUGUGUCAAGUCCAUAUCCAGUGUCAUUGGGUGAAGAAAAAAACACAUUUACUGUAAAAACUCUGCAUAAAUUGUAAUAUUUUUGUUGUUUUUUACCGCUUCACCUGAAAGCGUGGCGAUAAAUGAAAGUGGAUAUCGCUUAAUUGUUAUUCGCAUGUUUUCAUUCACAGAGUUCAUCAAGAAAAUCCACUUGAAAAUGAGUGUGGGAAUUCAGAAGCUGAGGCCCAGAAACGAUGACAAGCAAAAGUCAUUGCGGUAUUAUUUACGGUAUGAGCUAAACGAAGACUGUUUGGUGGAGCUGUGUGAAUACUUACAUGUUCAUGAUUUGAUGCAAAUUUGUGAUCUCGACACCGAAGAUGACCAAUAUUUCACCGUGCUGAUAAGAGAGCGUGUGAUUGGUCGCAAGCUAAUCGAUUUAGAGCCACGGAAUAAGCGUCAAAAGGUGUGGUCAUUCACAAAAACAUUCGAAACAUUUGGUCCAUACAUCAAGCGCUUGAAGAUCCCAUUGCGUUCGAAUCAUUUCAAUUACAUUUUGCGUAAAAUAAUAACACACAGUGCACCGGGCACACUGACCGAAGUGCAAUUCAUGUCGUUGCCAUCGGAGAGCCAUGAAGAUGUUGAAGUGCCGGUGAAUUGUGAUUUGUUGCAACAGGUCAUUCCAUACUUCAGCAAAGUUAAAACGGUGCUCAUCGAGGACGAAUGGAGCGCAUUGUGGGGAUUCUACAGCAUUUUUCUCAAUUCAAGCAAUGUGAAAAGCUUGAAAAUGAUCAAAGUUAACGGAGGCAAAAAGGUAUGGUCGGAACUGGCAACAAUCGACCAUCUCAAUUUGACCGAGUUGAAAGUGGUUGAAUGCAUCAGUGGACAAGAUUUAGCAAAAUUUAUCGCGAAGCUGCCACAUCUGGAAGUGUUCAAUUGGCAUGGACGCAGAGAUUGUGCAGCCGUUGGUAUGGCACUUGUCAAAAAUUGUCCCAAAUUGAAAGUCUACGGUGAAUAUUGCGAAAAUCGAAGCGAUGAUCCACACUACUACGAUUUUCUCGGCCAUUUUCAACAUUUGAUCCAAGUAACAUUGACAUCGAAAUCGACCACCGCUCAUGAUCUCAAAAGUACGCUGCAGAUUUUGUCACGACGCAAUCAAGUGAAACAGUUGACCCUCUAUCAAAGUGACGCCAAAAUGGUCGAACCAAUGAUGAUUGAUGAACAUUUUUUCGAGUAUUCACACGGAUUUUCCAGCUUGAAGACCAUUCUAUUCCACUUUUAUGACCAUUCAGCUACCAUUGAUUUCGAACAACGCCAACCAUUCUUUCGUAACUUGUUGUCGUCGAUGCAUGGACUGGAAAAAAUGACAAUGAUAAGCGGAUCGUAUGUUUUCAACAUUCCAAGAAUCAUUCAGUUCACACCGCGAAUCCAAGAAAUUAGCAUCAACCAGCAGAGAUUGUUUCAUAUGCCAGCUGAGGUUCGACGCAUUCGAAAGUUCAUCCAAAAAAUUGCCGACGAAAGACAAAACGAUGGCACAUUCAAACCCGUUCGAAUCAUCAUGAAUGCUGAACAAGCCAGGGAAUUUCUGGUACUGAAGAACAUCGAACAAAUCGUCACUAUUAUGAUUAAGGAUGAACAUGAGGAUAGAGCACAUUUUGGAUACACCAUGAUGUAAUUUUCUACGUCGAUUCAACAACACUGAUUGGGUGACGUUUGAGAAAGUGCAUUCAAUUGGUUUGACACUUCAAAUCAUUUGAUGGUUGUAUUGUGUGAUGUGAGGAUUAUUUUCAUAAUUUUUACCGUUUAAUUUGAUAGAGUUUAAAUGAUAAAAUUUUGAAAUAUAUAAAAGUCGCAAGUCGCAAGUCGCAAUCCAAAAAAGAAAAUUCAUCAAAAACCACCGCAAAAAUACGAAAGUGGUGAAAACGUUUAAGUCAUUAAAUUGUUGAUUAAAAUCGAUCACUUCAUCCAUCGUGUUGCCAUUGAACUAUGACGAACCCAGCCAAUUCAACAACGAACUUGGAGAAAAUACUUCAGUGCAGUGGACUCAACGAAGACUGUUUGGUUGAAAUAUUGAAAUACCUAAGUGUUUGCGAGCUGUUGAUAGUAUGUGAUUUAGACGACGGAGACGAUAAAUCGAUCACGAAUCUUAUCAAUGACCGUGUUAUCAUCAAGACAUUCAUCGAUUUCGAUCAAAUCCAAUCGGAGCAAAGCUCAUGGUCGGUCAAUAGAGUGUUUGAACAAUUUGGCCAGUCGAUGAAACGAUUGAAGGUAUUGAUAACAUCAGUAACAUUCAAUCUUUUUCUACGAAAGGUCGUUCGAUACUGCCGACCGGAUCGUUUGUCUGAGCUUGAAAUCGUAAUAAAUACAAAAUAUGUACCAUUGGAUGUUGAUAACGUGCUAUGGGAAGAAGUGCAACAAAAAUUCCGUCGUCUUACAAAUUUUACCCUGAAACGUACGUUGAAAAGCCCAGACGUGAACCAAAAUAAGUGGAUGUCCGAAUUUGUCAACCAACUUGAUUUGCCACACCUCGAAGUUCUGGCACUGCAACGCUUGUGGUUAACCAAUACUUGGUUAGGAUUGUUCCCAAAUCGGCAAAUGUGUGCCAAUAUCACUGAAUUGCGCUUGAUGAACGUUAGUUUGCACGAAAAUAUCAAUGAUUUUCAAAAGUUUCUAAACCAAUUUCCGAAUCUCGAAGUGUUUAUUCACACGGGUGGCGAACAAGAAUUUACAACGGUCGCUGAACAAGUGCAUCGACGAUUUCCAAAUUUACGCGGUUUCGGAUGUAGCAUCAGUCCUUUUGACGAGAAAUCUGCUUUUGACAAGUAUUUCAAUGUUCUAACGAUUUUUACAAAUUUAACCGAAUUCCAUAUAGAUGUCUUUGGACAACGUUUUCAACAUGUGGAUGCUAUUAUUCGAUUUGUUCCGAAUAUUAAGAUUCUGGCCAUUUGGCAAAUUUUAGACUUAUACCUGCUUCCAGUCGGAAUUCGUCGUAUUGUGCAAGCGAUUAGAAAAACCAUCACCAAUCGACGUGAACGAUUUCCAGCCAACGACCGUAUCCACCUUCUUGUGAACGAAUAUCAAUUCAACGAAUUUAAAGUUAUCAAAAAUAUUGACGAUAUCAUACGGCUCACAUUCAUUGAUUUCGAUAAAUCGAUUCCCGGUUAAUCAAUUGGUGAUAUCAUACGGCUCACAGUCUGUGAUUCCUAGUAAGGUCAUUGAUUUAAUCUAUAGAUGUUGAUAUUUAACUCCUGAUGAAUCUAAACUUAUUCGUAUUUUUGUGAAAUAAACUGAAUAAUACCUAAUAAAUGAGUCUUGUCGACAGUGUCUACUUGUAAGAACGAAACAAAA